UUCUCUACCCUUUUUUUCCUUCUUUGUGUUAUACUAGAAACAUUUCACUAUUUUCUCUCAAUGAAUUAUUAAUUACACAAUGAACAAUUGAGAUUGUUACUAACAUUGUGGUAGAUGAAACACACACACAACAAAUAAGCUUCUUGCGAAACACUUUCAUUGAUAUAUGCUACCAUGUCUGAGAAGAUGCAUGUUCUUCACAUUUUUUGCAAAAAAAUAUUGUUUUCCUCAAACACCUUUCAUGUACCAUUUUCAAAUAUAGUAUAUGACCAUAUUUUCAUAUCAUAUUAUCAAAUCGACGAAUUACCAAACAAGUAUUGUCAAGGUCAAUGGGGAGCAGACACAAUACUAGAGAGGCUACCAUCAAAGCUUUAGGCCAACGCAGAAGCAUGAUUGAAGCAGCAGCAACAACAGUAGUGGUUGUAAUGUGAAGAAAUCAUUCACGGUUUUAUCUUUCAAAGUGUUGCUUCUCAAUGUUGUUGUUUUCACGAAAAAUGAGGUGGCCACCUCUUUUAUACACGUGGACAUCAAAAUCUUAACUGAUCAACAAAGAAGGAUGGUUCUCAUCUCUCCUAUGACGAUACAUUUCAUAAACAUUUCUCAUUCUGUUACAAUGAAAGGUCAAAAGUAUAUAUACCAUAUUUAACAAGUGAGAUAUGUUGUUACUACAUGGUUGUUCUUUUUAGAACUGAAACUUCAACUGAGAUAAGAAAAAACAACAGCAACAACAAUAACAAAAACUAAAACAUUAGGCUCAUUUACAAAACAACUAAAACAUGCUUGAGAUGUUUCUAAGAGAAUUAUUCAAGAAUGCAGCUAGCAUAAAUUUGGAUACAAGUAUGAACAUGUCAGCACUAAAUUCACUACUACCAAACUUUUAAGUUAAAUUUUGAUUUUAAUUUUUGACAUUCACAAUAGAUUAUGAAUGAUCCUUUUUUACACGUAUUAUCAAGGACAUGUUAUGAAUCUAUUCUUAUGAAUCAAGCUUAUGGUAGAAAUUUAAUCUUUCUUUACUUGGUUAUGUCUACUU